rnacentral:rRNA from 1 species
CGGUAGCUAAUACCGCAUAACGUCGCAAGACCAAAGAGGGGGACCUUCGGGCCUCUUGCCAUCGGAUGUGCCCAGAUGGGAUUAGCUAGUAGGUGGGGUAACGGCUCACCUAGGCGACGAUCCCUAGCUGGUCUGAGAGGAUGACCAGCCACACUGGAACUGAGACACGGUCCAGACUCCUACGGGAGGCAGCAGUGGGGAAUAUUGCACAAUGGGCGCAAGCCUGAUGCAGCCAUGCCGCGUGUAUGAAGAAGGCCUUCGGGUUGUAAAGUACUUUCAGCGGGGAGGAAGGGAGUAAAGUUAAUACCUUUGCUCAUUGACGUUACCCGCAGAAGAAGCACCGGCUAACUCCGUGCCAGCAGCCGCGGUAAUACGGAGGGUGCAAGCGUUAAUCGGAAUUACUGGGCGUAAAGCGCACGCAGGCGGUUUGUUAAGUCAGAUGUGAAAUCCCCGGGCUCAACCUGGGAACUGCAUCUGAUACUGGCAAGCUUGAGUCUCGUAGAGGGGGGUAGAAUUCCAGGUGUAGCGGUGAAAUGCGUAGAGAUCUGGAGGAAUACCGGUGGCGAAAGGCGG